AGCGAAGCGGAUAUUCUCGGUGGCACGUUGAUCGUGUGGCGCCACCUGCGUACCAACCCGAGUGCGACUGCGGGAGAGUGCCGCCGUAUGACGCUAGAUGGCGUGGGUGCUCUGUCUGGUGGCGCCGACGACUGAGACCGAAACUGAAAGUGUCAUGCUAUCAGCUGGAUUUUCAUGCAACCAGCUGAUCGUUCGAAGGCAGAAGGGUGUGGUUGGAAAAAUACCGGCAUGGUCUUUGUCUGAGCCUUUUCUGUGACGGUCGGGCUUACUUUGAGUCGUGGACCGUUCCUAUUGACCGGCGACGGGCUGCGGCUACACUACCGGAUCUGGCGGGGGUCGACGAAGAUGUUCGGCGGCUUCGUUGGUGGUGACUGACUGGUGUCCUCCGGCGGACCGUGGAGCUCCGACUGCAGCGGCUGCUACUUGGAUUCGGGCGGACCGUGGCGCUCCGGCGCCGCCGGCGGGGCAGCGGCGGCGUGGCUGUCGCGUUGCUCGGUGGAGCGCGUGAGGACGGUCGCGCGUCGCAUGACGCUCGUCUCCGGACUGCCGUACUGGGGCUGGAUGAACUCCCGACUCGCUGGCGCAGAGCGGUGGCCAGUUGGACAGCGUAGUUGGAGCGGGCGGCGCGCGCGGUCGGGGCGGGCGACACCGUCCGGUGGAACAGACUGUGGAGCUAUGCUCUGGGACGGAGCUCAGGGACGUCCGGUAUGAGCUAGUGCCGGAUGGGACUAGCUGGCCUCAGUUCCUGCUAUCGGCUGUCAGCGUGGUCGAAUUGUGCUCAGUGCGAAACAGCGGUGCCCGUGCGCGUUAACAUAGCUGGCAAGGCUGCACUACCCAGCGCUGACAGGGGUAUUUCGGACGCAUAUGUGAUGACAGUGCUAGAAUGGUCCGUGGGGCUCGUCUCAGUGUCUCAUGUCAGCGUUUGGGGGGUGGAGGAUGUGACGAGCGAAGCGGAUAUUCUCGGUGGCACGUUGAUCGUGUGGCGCCACCUGCGUACCAACCCGAGUGCGACUGCGGGAGAGUGCCGCCGUAUGACGCUAGAUGGCGUGGGUGCUCUGUCUGGUGGCGCCGACGACUGAGACCGAAACUGAAAGUGUCAUGCUAUCAGCUGGAUUUUCAUGCAACCAGCUGAUCGUUCGAAGGCAGAAGGGUGUGGUUGGAAAAAUACCGGCAUGGUCUUUGUCUGAGCCUUUUCUGUGACGGUCGGGCUUACUUUGGUAAGGAGUUUGAGUUGUUAAAAUGCUAUGAGUCGUGUGAAUUUGAGUUUUCUUGCCCUAUUGAUGUGAUUGGCGUUAUUUAAUUAGGAUUUUCUUUGUUUCUCAGAAACCUACAUGUCAAGUUGAAGGCGUCUGAGCGAUACUUCGUCUACACUGACUACCAACGUUGUACCGCAAUAUAUAUCCACGCCAAUUUCCAA
rnacentral:lncRNA from 1 species